rnacentral:rRNA from 1 species
UAGGUAGCUUAACCUUCGGGAGGGCGCUUACCACUUUGUGAUUCUUGACUGGGGUGAAGUCGUAACAAGGUAACCGUAGGGGAACCUGCGGUUGGAUCACCUCCUUACCUUAACGA